UAUGUAAGUUCCCGAAGGCACCAAUCCAUCUCUGGAAAGUUCUUACUAUGUCAAGACCAGGUAAGGUUCUUCGCGUUGCAUCGAAUUAAACCACAUGCUCCACCGCUUGUGCGGGCCCCCGUCAAUUCAUUUGAGUUUUAGUCUUGCGACCGUACUCCCCAGGCGGUCUACUUAUCGCGUUAGCUGCGCCACUAAAGCCUCAAAGGCCCCAACGGCUAGUAGACAUCGUUUACGGCAUGGACUACCAGGGUAUCUAAUCCUGUUUGCUCCCCAUGCUUUCGUACCUCAGCGUCAGUAUUAGGCCAGAUGGCUGCCUUCGCCAUCGGUAUUCCUCCAGAUCUCUACGCAUUUCACCGCUACACCUGGAAUCCUACCAUCCUCUCCCAUACUCUAGCUGACCAGUAUCGAAUGCAAUUCCUAAGUUAAGCUCAGGGAUUUCACAUCCGACUUAAUCAGCCGCCUACGCACGCUUUACGCCCAGUAAAUCCGAUUAACGCUCGCACCCUCUGUA
rnacentral:rRNA from 1 species